GGAUUCCCCGAGUAGCGGCGAGCGAAACGGGAAGAGCCCAGCGCUGAAUCCCGCCGUCCGAGCGGACGGCCGGGAAAUGUAGCGUUCGGGAGGAGAUGUUAAUUUAUUCGCACGGUCAAACACACGGCGGCCAGUCCAAGUUCAUCUUGAAAGAGGCCCCGCUUAUCCGUAGAGGGUGCCAGGCCCGUAGCGACGGUCGCCGGCCGUGACGGUCUCUCUCCCCAGAGUCGGGUUGCUUGAGAGUGCAGCCCUAAGUGGGUGGUAAACUCCAUCUAAGGCUAAAUACGACCACGAGACCGAUAGCGAACA
rnacentral:rRNA from 1 species